CCGUCCUCCCACCUUUAGGUGCCCUAUUCCGUUCCAGAGUUUCUAUCAGUGUCUGCCUUCUCUUCGAGAGCCCUGUUUCAGUGGGCAUCUUCUCGAGCCGUAGGGGUCUUCCAAAUCGUCCCUUUGGUCCCUCAGAGCGCUAUAGGUUAGUUCCAGCACCUUCAACCUUUUUCCCACCGCCUAGGGACUUCUUCUCUGUCAUUAUUUUUUGCAUCCCUCUGAGUUAGUUUCUUGUGGCCUCUCGUCCCCCAUCCUGUCCGUCUUCUUAGGGACCUUUAAAGCCCUCCUUCGAAACUACCCGAAAUGUCGUCCGGCUCUUCCGCUCCCUGCAGCUCCGGGAGCUCUUCCGCC
rnacentral:lncRNA from 1 species